GCCGAUGUAGCUCAGCUGGCUAGAGCAGCUGAUUUGUAAUCAGCAGGUCGGGGGUUCGAGUCCCUCCAUCGGCU
rnacentral:tRNA from 10 species